GAGGAUAUAGCUCUGUGGUAGAUCACGUGCUUAGCAGGCACGAGGUCCUAGGUUCAAUUCCCAGUACCUCCA
rnacentral:tRNA from 1 species